GAUGAACGCUGGCGGCGUGCCUAAUACAUGCAAGUCGAGCGGACGGACGAGAAGCUUUCUUCUCUGCUGUUAGCGGCGGACGGGUGGGUAACACGUGCAUCGCCUACUUCUAAUACUGGGAUAACUACGGGAAACCGGAGCUACUACUGGAUCAUAUUUUGUACCGCAUGGUUCAAAAGAUAUUGACGGUCUUGCUGUUUCUUAUAGAUGGAUCCGCGCUGCAUUAGCUAGUUGGUAAGGUAACGGCUUACCAAGGCAACGAUGCGUAGCCGAGCUGAGAGGGUGAUCAGCCACACUGGAACUGAGACACGGUCCAGACUCCUACGGGAGGCAGCAGUAGGGAAUCUUCCGCAAUGGGCGAAAGCCUGACGGAGCAACGCCGCGUGAGUGAUGAAGGUCUUCGGAUCGUAAAACUCUGUUAUUAGGGAAGAACAGAUGUGUAAGUAACCGUGCACAUCUUGACGGUACCUAAUCAAAAAGCCACGGCUAACUACGUG
rnacentral:rRNA from 1 species